GUUAUGCUCCAAAGAGUGACAAUAGAUUUGAAAUUCAUACCUUAACUUUGAGUGCUAAUAACUCCUUCAUAAAAACUCUAAAUCAUACAAAAUUUGUAUCUAAAUUAUAUCUAAAAGCCUAAAUUUACUGAUCUUAGCUUCUAAAGUUCGAAUGAAUUCAAAAAAAAAUCCUAAUCCCUAAUAAGGCCCCGAGCAGCCUCCUUGAAGCCCAUUGGACAUGGCCUUCAACUAAUAGGGAUGAAGAUCUACAUUCCGUACCUUCAUCCGACCAUGCCUUGCUUUCAUCCCUCCCAAUAAGCCUCU
rnacentral:lncRNA from 1 species